CUAAGGGUUCUUUAUGAAAAAAUUGGGAGAGUCAGAGUCAGGGACGAUGUGACCACAGAAGAAGCCUGGGUUAUGUGAGACCAAGUCAGGGAAUGCUGGUGGUCUCUAGAAGCUGAAGAGGUCGGGAGACAGACCCUUCCCUAGAACCUUCAGAAGGAAUGCUGCCCUGCCAACAUUUUGACUUCAGCUUAGAGAGUCAAACUUUGAACUUCUGACCUCCAGAAUGGUAAACUAAUACACUUGUGCAGCUCUAAUCCACCAUGUUUAUGGCAGUUCGUUACAGCAGUAGUAAGAAACUUAUAUGCUGACCACAGCUGAGCCUCAGGUUCUGGACUGGAAGCUGAGCAAGCACUGGCUGCCUUUGAUUCACUUGACAAUUCUAUGAGGUUUAAGGUAUGAUUCUCAUUUCACAGAUGAAAACGACGAGACUCAGGGAAGCAUUGAAUAGACUUCCUAGACUGCCUAAGCAGUGUGGUCAGUAUGGAUGCAGCUGGCACAUGGAGGCCACCAGGAAGCCUGUGCUUCUAACCAUCAUGAGAACUGCCUCCACCUGGAUCCUGGCAACCAGCCCCAGGAAUAAGUCCUCCACACAUCCUUUAAGGAUUACAAAAGGUGGUGAUAUUAUCCAGCAAAGUAAUGAAUCAACAUAACAGCUGGGAUGUUUGACUUUCACACACUGGCUUUCAUUAGGCAAAACAUUAUUGAUCAAGUGACUCUCAUGUAUAUAAUAUAUAUGUGCUGUCUGGAUUAUACAUGUAAAACAUACCUGAGCUUCUUUAUUUACAGGGAGUCAAAAAGGGGAUCAAGGAAGUGCAAUUAAAAAGAGUAUUUCUUUUCAUAACUCUCUUCUUUACCGACUCUUCACAUGUUUCUGCUAUGUUUGGGCAAAGGGUUUUAAUCUGCAUCCAAGGAAGGGCAGUGCUGUUGAAAGCUGAUGAAAUGAUGUUUGUUUCAACUUCAUUCAGUUAUGGGGGGGACGAUUAAAGAAAGAGGCCGGGCGCAGUUGCUCAUGCCUGUAAUCCCAGCAUUUUGGGAGGCUGAGACGGGUGGAUCACCUGAGAUCAGGAGUUUGACAUCAGCCUGGCUAACAUGGUAAAACCCUGUUUCUACUAAAAAUAUAAAAAAUUAACCAGGCAUGGUGAUGCCACCUGUAAUCCCAACUACUUGGGAGGCUGAGACAGGAGAAUCGCUUGAACCCGGGAGGCGGAGGUUACAGUGAGCCAGGAUUGCACCAUUGCACUCCAGCUUGGGCAACGAGGGUGAAACUCCAUCAAAAAAAAGAAAGAGAGAGAGAGAAAGAGAGAGGAAGGAAGGAAGGAGGAAACGAAGGAAGGAGGAAAGGAAGGAAGGAAGGAUGGAAGGAAGGAAGGAAAUAAAGGAGGGUUAAAAAGAAAAAAGAGGAGUGUCUAAAGAGACUAUGGAUAAAUAAUGAGAAAACCAGUGGAGAUGACUCUGCAACAGAAUCUUAGGAAGAGGAACUCAAAGCUCACUAACAAAAGCUUAUAAAUUGUGAAUAUUGGGCUUGAGUAAAAGGCAAUUCCUGCUAAAAUCACAACAGGCUUCUCUUUAUUUUAUUCUCCUAUUUUUAAGUCCUAGUGUAUUUAUCAGCUCAACUUUUCAUAAUUCUGUUUUUAAAAAGUCAAAUAAAUCUUUAUUGGUUACAAGGUCAUUUUGUUUCACAGAUAUUAUUUUAUAAAUGUAACCUUGAUUCUUUUAUUAUUGUUAUCCACAUCCAAUAAUAAAACAAAAUUUUAAAAGGUGACUUUUUGCUGUUUCACAUGACACUCAGGCAUCUUAACCCUUUGUUAGACAAACACACGUAUACACACAGAACUGAAUGCCUGUGCUCACCCUUGCUGACAUUAAGAACUUGGUCUUGCACUGUUUUUAAAUACUUAGGUCAUUAUUCAUAAAUCUUCUCCUCUUUAGAUAUAAUUCUUGAUUCUUUUUAAUGUAAAAGUUAAAUAAUACUUUAUAUAAAUUAUAAGUUAGAUUUGAAUGCUUUAAACUGAACCAAUACUAUAAAGUUCAGUUAUGCUAUUUUUGAGCUAUUCAUAAAGACAGUUUUCAAUACCCUUGUGUUAUAGAAGGAUUAAAUUAUAGCUUUGCAGUAGAUUAGGUUUCUUUGUAUUACCGUAUUUACACAUCUGGUUGGUCUAUUAUGCAUUUUUUUCUAUAUUAUCUUAUAAACUGAUUAGGACAUAACUCUUUCUCUAUUGUGUUCAUAAGAGCCCAUCAUAGUAUGGAUUUAAGAAGCAAAAUUAAAUACCCAAUAUCUCUGGCUUAGAAAAUCAUUGGUUCUCAAUUGCUGCAUUGUAAUUCUGUGUAUAGAUUUACCCACCUACACUGGGCUUUAAAAAGAAAAUGCAAUUAAACACGUAGAUAGCUGUGAACAAGGAAUUAUGUUCUACCAAUAGUAGUGAGUAAACUUUGCCCAUUCCUGACCCUAAAGACCAUAUUUGAGCUUCACUGUAGAAAGACUUGGAUGAUACUCUUAUGUUUUCAUAUAAUACGUAAUAUAUAAGAAUGUUCACAGAUCAGUUGGCAUUUCUUUUGGCUGUAAGAAGCUGAGCCUUUGUGUCCUAAAAUUAUAGGUAUAUAAUCCUCAAAUCUGCUGUGUGGCCAAAACAAAACAACAAAACAAAAUAAAAAAAAAAUAAAAAAGUUGAGCGUGCUCCUUUUGUUUGUUGAAGACUCAAUAUGCAUUAUGAAAGCAAAAUGUUUAGUAUUUCACUAAA
rnacentral:lncRNA from 1 species